rnacentral:rRNA from 1 species
UACGUAGGGGGCGAGCGUUGUCCGGAUUCAUUGGGCGUAAAGAGCUCGUAGGCGGUUCGGUUAGUCAGAUGUGAAAACUCCGGGCUCAACUCGGAGAGGCCAUCUGAUACUGCCGUGACUGGAGUUCGGUAGAGGAGUGUGGGAUUCCCGGUGUAGCGGUGAAAUGCGCAGAUAUCGGGAGGAACACCAGCGGCGAAGGCGGCACUCUGGGCCGAUACUGACGCUGAGGAGCGAAAGCGUGGGGAGCGAACAGG